UACGUAGGGGGCGAGCGUUGUUCGGAAUUAUUGGGCGUAAAGCGCGCGUAGGCGGGAUAGUCAGUCUGUUGUAAAAGUGCUGGGCUCAACCCCGUAAGGUCAAUGAAUACUGCUAUUCUUGAGUGCAGGAGAGGAAAGUGGAAUUCCCAGUGUAGCGGUGAAAUGCGUAGAUAUUGGGAGGAACACCAGUGGCGAAGGCGACUUUCUGGACUGAGUCUGACGCUGAGGUGCGAAAGCCAGGGGAGCAAACAGG
rnacentral:rRNA from 1 species